UGCAAGUCGAGCGGUAACAGGAAGAAAGCUUGCUUUCUUUGCUGACGAGCGGCGGACGGGUGAGUAACGCGUAGGAAUCUGCCUAGUAGUGGGGGACAACAUGUGGAAACGCAUGCUAAUACCGCAUACGCCCUACGGGGGAAAGGAGGGGAUCUUCGGACCUUUCGCUAUUAGAUGAGCCUGCGUAAGAUUAGCUAGUUGGUGGGGUAAAGGCUCACCAAGGCGACGAUCUUUAGCUGGUCUGAGAGGAUGAUCAGCCACACUGGGACUGAGACACGGCCCAGACUCCUACGGGAGGCAGCAGUGGGGAAUAUUGGACAAUGGGCGCAAGCCUGAUCCAGCCAUGCCGCGUGUGUGAAGAAGGCCUUCGGGUUGUAAAGCACUUUCAGAAGUGAGGAAGGGUGACUGGCUAAUAUCCAGUUAUCUUGACGUUAGCUUCAGAAGAAGCACCGGCUAACUCUGUGCCAGCAGCCGCGGUAAUACAGAGGGUGCGAGCGUUAAUCGGAAUUACUGGGCGUAAAGCGCGCGUAGGUGGUUUGUUAAGUCGGAUGUGAAAGCCCAGGGCUCAACCUUGGAAUUGCACCCGAUACUGGCAGGCUAGAGUACGGUAGAGGGGUGUGGAAUUUCCUGUGUAGCGGUGAAAUGCGUAGAUAUAGGAAGGAACAUCAGUGGCGAAGGCGACACCCUGGACCGAUACUGACACUGAGGUGCGAAAGCGUGGGGAG
rnacentral:rRNA from 1 species